rnacentral:rRNA from 1 species
AGAGUUUGAUCAUGGCUCAGAUUGAACGCUGGCGGCAGGCCUAACACAUGCAAGUCGAGCGGUAGCACAGAGAGCUUGCUCUCGGGUGACGAGCGGCGGACGGGUGAGUAAUGUCUGGGAAACUGCCUGAUGGAGGGGGAUAACUACUGGAAACGGUAGCUAAUACCGCAUAAUGUCGCAAGACCAAAGUGGGGGACCUUCGGGCCUCAUGCCAUCAGAUGUGCCCAGAUGGGAUUAGCUAGUAGGUGGGGUAACGGCUCACCUAGGCGACGAUCCCUAGCUGGUCUGAGAGGAUGACCAGCCACACUGGAACUGAGACACGGUCCAGACUCCUACGGGAGGCAGCAGUGGGGAAUAUUGCACAAUGGGCGCAAGCCUGAUGCAGCCAUGCCGCGUGUGUGAAGAAGGCCUUCGGGUUGUAAAGCACUUUCAGCGGGGAGGAAGGCGGUAAGGUUAAUAACCUUGUCGAUUGACGUUACCCGCAGAAGAAGCACCGGCUAACUCCGUGCCAGCAGCCGCGGUAAUACGGAGGGUGCAAGCGUUAAUCGGAAUUACUGGGCGUAAAGCGCACGCAGGCGGUCUGUCAAGUCGGAUGUGAAAUCCCCGGGCUCAACCUGGGAACUGCAUUCGAAACUGGCAGGCUAGAGUCUUGUAGAGGGGGGUAGAAUUCCAGGUGUAGCGGUGAAAUGCGUAGAGAUCUGGAGGAAUACCGGUGGCGAAGGCGGCCCCCUGGACAAAGACUGACGCUCAGGUGCGAAAGCGUGGGGAGCAAACAGGAUUAGAUACCCUGGUAGUCCACGCCGUAAACGAUGUCGAUUUGGAGGUUGUGCCCUUGAGGCGUGGCUUCCGGAGCUAACGCGUUAAAUCGACCGCCUGGGGAGUACGGCCGCAAGGUUAAAACUCAAAUGAAUUGACGGGGGCCCGCACAAGCGGUGGAGCAUGUGGUUUAAUUCGAUGCAACGCGAAGAACCUUACCUGGUCUUGACAUCCACAGAACUUUCCAGAGAUGGAUUGGUGCCUUCGGGAACUGUGAGACAGGUGCUGCAUGGCUGUCGUCAGCUCGUGUUGUGAAAUGUUGGGUUAAGUCCCGCAACGAGCGCAACCCUUAUCCUUUGUUGCCAGCGGUCCGGCCGGGAACUCAAAGGAGACUGCCAGUGAUAAACUGGAGGAAGGUGGGGAUGACGUCAAGUCAUCAUGGCCCUUACGACCAGGGCUACACACGUGCUACAAUGGCAUAUACAAAGAGAAGCGACCUCGCGAGAGCAAGCGGACCUCAUAAAGUAUGUCGUAGUCCGGAUUGGAGUCUGCAACUCGACUCCAUGAAGUCGGAAUCGCUAGUAAUCGUAGAUCAGAAUGCUACGGUGAAUACGUUCCCGGGCCUUGUACACACCGCCCGUCACACCAUGGGAGUGGGUUGCAAAAGAAGUAGGUAGCUUAACCUUCGGGAGGGCGCUUACCACUUUGUGAUUCAUGACUGGGGUGAAGUCGUAACAAGGUAACCGUAGGGGAACCUGCGGUUG